rnacentral:lncRNA from 1 species
UCCAAGUGAGUGUCAGCAUGCCCAGAUUUGGAGCUUAAGGGAAAGUUUGAAAGCGAACAGAGAUCGGUGCCAGAAGGGUGGUGUCAUGGAGGUGAUCCGGCCUUGCUGCUCAGGUCCCUGCAGGGCUGCAUUGCUGGGCUCGCUGUGUGCAUCACAAAUGGGGCUCCUCAGAGCCAGCUGAGUGCUGUCAGCAGUGGGAACCUUCUCACCUGCCUUCACCUGUUUAAAUUCAAGUCAGUGUUUCAUCUGGCUUUAGAAUCGCAGAACUGUUCAGUCUGGAAAAGCCCUGUGAGACCCCCAACCCACCCCCCCCCCCCCCCUCCGUGCCCACUGCCCACCCCUCAGUGCCACAUCCCCGCGGCUCUGAACACCUCCAUGGACGGGGACUGCCCACCCCCGG